UACAGAGGGUGCAAGCGUUGUUCGGAAUUAUUGGGCGUAAAGGGCGCGUAGGCGGUGCGGUAAGUCUGUAGUGAAAUCUCUGGGCUCAACUCAGAGUCUGCUGCAGAAACUGCCGUGCUUGAGUGUGGGAGAGGUGAGUGGAAUUCCCGGUGUAGUGGUGAAAUGCGUAGAGAUCGGGAGGAACACCCGUGGCGCAGGCGGCCCCCUGGGCCGGGCCUGACGCUGAGACGCGAAAGCGUGGGGAGCGAACGGG
rnacentral:rRNA from 1 species